rnacentral:lncRNA from 1 species
CCGGGCCUCAUGCAUCUUGUGCGUGGUAAGCAAGUGCCUUACCACUAGCCCUUUCUAUUUUGUUUUGAGACAAGUUCUUGAACCUGAUGAUCCUCCUGUGUCACCUUCCCAGGUAGCUGGGAUUACACCUGUGCACUACCAUGCCAGGCGCACUUUCUUGAUCUGAAAGUGGGAGAAAUGAUAACUAGUUCACAGAGUUGUUUUGAGAAUUAGGUGACACAGUAUUUCAUUAAAGUGUCUUAUUCUGGAUUCUUUGGAUUCAACCAGAAGAGCCAUGGAAGCAUGCUUGGCUUGCUUCUGCAUGGAGUCCUGUGUCUGGUAUGGAGGGAAUAAAAAUGCAAAUAGAUUUCAGAGGACCAAAUUAUGUGACUUCAAGUGGGAGAGCUGCUGUUGAACCUGUAAUUUACAUUUUAAACAUGAUCACUCUGGCUGCUCUGUUGAGAGAGUCUAAGGGAGUGAGUUACAAUUAUUAGGCAAGAGAUUUUGGUGACAUGGACUAGGAUGGUAACAGUGGAGGGGGUGAGAAGUAAUCAUUUACCUGGAAUAUGUUUAUAAGAUAACCAGAAUGAAACUGAGUUGACUCCAAGAAUUUUGGGUUUAAGCAUCUGGAAGGAAGAUGUUCCUGUUUAUUGAGAUGGCAAAAGCUGUAAAGGAACAGGUUUGGGGGAAUAGAUAAGCAUUGUUUUAAUUUUGGGUUAAUUAAGUUUGAAAUGCCUAUCUAAAAUUUAUUUUAUUUUUUGUUUAUUCAUUUAUUGUCUCUCCCACUGGAACACACACUUCAUCUUCAUAAUGAAAGGGACUUAGUUCUCCACUGUAUUCCUAGCACCUAGAAAGCUAUAAAGGAACAGGUUUGGGGGAAUAGAAAUUAAAUGAUUAACUUACCCAGGAGUGAGUGUAGAAUAAGAAAAAAAUCUCAAUGACUAAGCCAUGAAGCAGACAAACAUGAAGAGGUUGGGGAAAUAUGACUGCACCAGCAAAGGAGACUUAAGGAAAUACCAGAACAGUGAGAGGAAAACUGAGAGUGCCGUGGUCUGAAAGGCUUAUGAAGAGUGAGGAAGAAAGGAGUAUGCAAAAUAGGUCAGACACUGCUGAUGGGUCAAGUAAGGCAAGGACUGAGAAUUAACUAUUGGAUUUAUUGUGAUAAAUUCAGUGACUAAUUGAGAAGACCAACUUCAGUGGAGUGGUGGGCUGAAUAGUUGGAGUACAACUUGGAGAGAAAGGGAAAAUGGGUAAUGCUUGUUUUCUUUUCCCUUUCUCAUUUAGUGCCAUUCAUUCAACAAUUUUAUUGAAUGCAUACCAUGUGUCGUGCGCUGUUCUAGGUGCUAGGAAUA